GACGACGCUGGCGGCGUGCCUAAUACAUGCAAGUAGGACGAGUUGCGAACGGGUGAGUAACGAGUGGUAACCUACCUAUUAGAGGGGGAUAAAUAUUGGAAACGAUAGCUAAUACCGCAUACUAGUAGAUUGAGCUGCGUUGUAUUAGCUAGUAGGUGGGGUAAAGGCCUACCUAGGCAACGAUACAUAGCCGACCGGAGAGGGUGAUCUGCCACACUGGGACUGAGACACGGCCCAGACUCCUACGGGAGGCAGCAGUGGGGAAUAUUGCACAAGGGGCGCAAGCCUGAUGCAGCCAUGCCGCGUGUAUGAAGAAGGCCUUAGGGUUGUAAAGUACUUUCAGCGGGGAGGCGUUACUCGCAGAAGAAGCACCGGCUAACUCCGUGCCAGCAGCCGCGGUAAUAC
rnacentral:rRNA from 1 species